CCUUUUCGCUCUCUCUUUCAUUCGCUUCAUUUCGUUUGUUAAUUAAAUUAUUUUUCUGUAAUUAUGUAUUCCGCUGCGACGUGACGCGGCGGGAAACUCGGCGGUGAACCAGAUGAUUCUAGGGUACAUACAAUGAGUGAUUACAAUAACAACUACGAUAAGAUUUUAUAAAAUAAUGCGUUUUACGUUGGAUUAUUUUACCUCAUUUUUUUUCAACCACCCAAGACCCGUGUACGCGUUGAUUUUAAUUUCAAUUUAUUUCAUUGUCAGCCGAACGCAUCGAAAAUUCGAAAAAUUCUUUACACGCAAGCGCGCGCUCUGCAAUGAAAUUCGAAUGAUUUUGAAAAGCUAGCCUUCCGGGUAGUGCAGCCACAAUAGUCUGCAGUUCAAAUAUUAUUUACGCCGAUAGAAGUUCGCCUUGGAUGCCCAUUUCUGUCGGUGUAAAAUAUUACGUAAAAAAUUUAAAAUAAAUAAAAAAAUCAUCUUCGCUUUUUGUUAGUUAUAUACGUAAUCUUAUUCCGUAUGGUUUACUACAAUACGUACUCCUGUUUGUUAUUGAAAUUUAUUCAGUCCCCCGUUAUAAUACCGAUAUACGAUCAAGAUUUUGAUUAUUUUUUUCAACCGUCGAACUCACAACCGAUAUGCAAAUGGAAAAGAACAAAAUUAUUCGUCCAUCUAGAGUCAUUCGCUGGGGGGAAAAAAGCACAAUUGGUAAACGAAAGAGUUCAUGUGCAUAAAUUAAUUAAUACACAUAACCGUAUAGUUAUGUCAGAAAUAAUUAGCGAUUAAGGAAUACGGUAUAUAAACAACAAUCGGUGAAAAAAUCGUUGAUAUUACCUAGAUUUCAGAUUUUACAAAUUUUUUUCAUAGCCGUAUAGGGAAACCUUGACACAAUUUUACGGUUAUCUCUAUUCAGAAAAGAAGAAUAGAUGAAAAAAAUGAUGGUAUAUACGAUAUAGCUAAUAAUAUAAUCAUGAUAAGAAAGUUGACGGUGUAAUCGCCAUUUCGGGUACAAUAUAUUAUGUCGAAUGAGAUCGAAAUUUUGAAGGAAAAAAAAAAAAAAACAACAACAAAAAACAGGUGCGAUCAGAUACGCGUUGAUUGUCUUGAGUAAUCGAGAUGUUAAUCCAUUGUGAAAAUUGAUAAUCGAUAAAAUUCUUUUAUCUCGGACCCCCUGCGAGGAUGAUGACUCAAAGAAAAAAAGUAAAGAAAUUAUGACGUGCCCGUACACCUCGAUAUUUGUUAAAAAAAAAAAAUGGGGAUGAAAUGGGGAUGCGGGUGAGAAAAGGCGAGAACAAUAUUUACCCAUUAUUGUUUAUCGCAAAGGAAUGAAAAAAAUAUUUGAAAUAAAGGAGAAAAGAUCACAACCUCUUACAGCAUAGAUAUAAUGCAUCCGUAUAUGUAUACGUGUAGUAAAGAUCAUGUUGUGUAAAACGAUUGAUUUUAAUUACAAACGAUCCACGUGCGUAUUGGUUUGUUGAUAGAGCGAUAAGAACGUAAACACUUUGAUUAAAAAAAUUAUCAUUUUUACAACGAUUGUUUGUACCGGAAAAUGGGCGGGGUUUGUGAAAAAUUUACGAUGACGUUCGAAACGAUAUCCAUGUGCAGAAUCGUAGAUGAGUAAAUUAAACUUGUCGCAUCGAGUGUGAGAGAAAAAAAAAAAAAUAAAUGAGAAAGAAAACAGAACGAACCUACACACAUAAUUAGACGCUGUUACCUCGGGGCAGUGACGAUCUGGCCGAUCCGUUACUCCGAUUUAUCUGAUCCGCGGUAUCGGAUGGAAUAUUUAUCACAGACGGAAGGGGUUGGAAUGUGAAUUCCCUGGCUCUGUAGACUUCGACGAACGGCAGGUCGUACUGGGGGUAAUACCGUGUCACGUGUUAUCCUUUCGAGAGAGAGAGAGAGAAAGGGAAAGGAAGAUGGAAAAAAAAGGGACAAAACUGGGGGAAUAUGAGGUAACACAACCGGACGUUAAUCGCAGGAGAUUUUCCCGAUUAAAAUAGUUCCUUAAAAACUGCACCACAUAGCGUCAACGGAUCGAUGUGACACCCGGAGUUAUAAUAUAGCAUAAAGAGAACGCGUUGCGUACUGAAAUACACCAAAGACAUGGACUAGACUUUACGAUCCACUUCUGGCUGGCUGCGCCUGCCGACUGAGGUUCGUUCGAACGGUUCACGUUUGCUAACAAUUCUCCGAGACACGGUGGGAGGAUGGUUUUGUUUGGCUUUUUCCUACCUAGUUCCUAUACUCUAAUGAACGUUACUCGGUAUUAUUUUAAAAUAAUUCCAACAGCGGUUGUGACCCAGCAGACAGAACGCAUCGUCUAUCCGCAUGAACUGCUCGAUUGGUACGACAGGAAGCUUUGUGGAGUGACAUUUUUUUGCUCGCUUUGCCGUUUAAUCAAUACGCCUGGCUUAUCAACCAUCAAACCGUAGUAGUCGUCGAUGGAGACGAGGUACAUCGAUCAUUGGUAGACCAACAUCGGUACUGGAUACUGCAGCUCUCCUUUUUGGCUACUCCGUCCAGCGACCUUUUGCUCCCUUUUUCUUCAUCUCCUCUCCUUUUUUUCACCCUUUUACACCCGACCCGCGCCUCUGCUCACCUCGCUCGACGAAACUUUGACGAGAUUUUGGCCAGGGGCCACUCGUAGAAUGACGAUGAUGAUAUGAUAAAAUACAGCAAUGAUCUAACGAAGGUUCAUUACCAUUACCUAUUUUUUCGUGGCUGCACAGAGUAAAACGUAAAUUUUACUUGCGGCCCGAUGGCGCUUGAGCAGCAAGGGCGGCGGCGUAGGAGGCAGAAUGUUCUGGAAAUGCGUUCGAUGCUUGAAUCGGCAGACGUCCCAAGGUGAAAAAUGUAGAACCGAAAGUUUGUAGUCUUCGCAAUUGGUACGUACCGAUGAAAGAAAUCAAAAAAACAAAAAUUAAACACAAUAAAUAAAUGAGAUUUUUCACAAAAAUCGAAGGCAAAUCAGACAUGUUUUUGAAG